GGAAUAUUGGGCAAUGGACGAAAGUCUGACCCAGCGACGCCGCGUGAGGGAAGAAGGUCUUCGGAUUGUAAACCUUAGUCAACAGGGACGAAACAAAUGACGGUACCUGUGGAGGAAGCCACGGCUAACUACGUGCCAGCAGCCGCGGUAAUACGUAGGUGGCAAGCGUUAUCCGGAUUUACUGGGUGUAAAGGGUGUGUAGGCGGGAUUGCAAGUCAGAUGUGAAAACUAUGGGCCUAACCCAUAGCCUGCAUUUGAAACUGCAGUUCUUGAGAGUCGGAGAGGUAAAUGGAAUUCCCGGUGUAGCGGUGAAAUGCAUAGAUAUCGGGAGGAACACCAGUGGCGAAGGCGAUUUACUGGACGACAACUGACGCUGAGACACGAAAGUGUGGGGAGCAAACA
rnacentral:rRNA from 1 species